rnacentral:miRNA from 10 species
UUAGAUUGAUGUAAAAGUAAUUGCAGGUUUUGCCAUUAAAAGUAAUGGCAAAACCAAAAACUUUUAAUUUGUCAUUAAAAGUAUUAGUAAUUACUUUUGUACCAA